GUUUGUGUGCCAAUGUUCCCAAGGUUUGGUGUCUCUUUCUUUCUAGCAGAUAAUUCUCGUGUAGACAUCAAGAAGCUAAUGAUAGUUUGACUUAUGCUCCUCAUCAAUUGUAGCAAAGGAUUGUCCAUGGUCUAUCAUUUAACCUGUUGUGCAUUGUUAAUGCACAUUUGAUACUAUUCAGUUCCAUGUUAUGAUUUUGUUUCUUAUAUGAUUCUCUUAAAUUAGUGUUGAUUGGUGUGUGAACCAUUUUAAUCUUUCAGAUCUGUUCCAAGUGUUUUCUGAGUUGCCAAGAAGGGAUAUCAAUUUCAUAUAGCAUAGCAGUCAACUAGGUUGGAAAUUGAAUAAGAGAAGGAAGACAAUAAUAAUAGAUUCAGGGCUUUAUAGCCUGAAUAAAUCAGAAAUUUGGUGGGUUAUUAAGUAGAGGAGUCCACCAACAUCUUUUAAGCUCUACAUAGUGGAAAGUCAAAUCAACUAAAUUUCUUAUCCUUGCGAACAUGGCUCGAGAGGUAUUAGUCAUUCUUAUCUCUACCAUAGCAUCAGAGUGUGCAUUCAGUACAGGAGAAAGAGUGGUUAGCCCUUAUCGUAGUUGCCUAACGACUAAAAUAGUGGAAGUGCUUGUUUGCACACAAGAUUGGUUAAAAGGAACACCUUUCUCU
rnacentral:sRNA from 1 species